rnacentral:tRNA from 1 species
ACUUUUAUAGCUUAUAGUUUAGAGUGUGAUAUUGAAGAUAUCAAGGAGAUAUUAUCUAGAAGUA